CAGCCUGCAACUCGGCUGCAUGAAGCUGGAAUCGCUAGUAAUCGCAGAUCAGAAUGCUGCGGUGAAUACGUUCCCGGGUCUUGUACACACCGCCCGUCACACCAUGGGAGUUGGAAAUGCCCGAAGUCAGUGACCGAACCGAAAGGAAGGAGCUGCCGAAGGUGGAGCCGAUGACUGGGGUGAAGUCGUAACAAGGUAAC
rnacentral:rRNA from 1 species